UAUUGUACCUAAGCUUAUCUCAAUUAAUCGCAGAGGGUCUGUUUGUACUGGCAUGUUGUCCAUGUAUGUUGGGAUGUGCUCUGGCUUGAGUUUGGAGUGAGCCGUUUUCUUGCCAGGUGGUAAAAGCUCAGGCUUGGGAAGAAAGGGAGAGGGACAAGCAUGAAAGAAACAUGUGCUUGAACACGAGCCGUAGUCCUGCAACCAACAUGAGCCACAUGGCAUGGGGCGUUGAGCCCAUGCUCAUGCCCAAUGAGCCAAGGCACAAGCCGGCCAUGGACCGUCGUGGCCCUCCCGUCUGUGAAUUCAGACAAUGCUGGGCGUGAUGGCUGCAGCAUGCUGGCUUUCCCCAGGCAACUGGCUCUGCCAGCCAGUCGUGGCAAGAUGGCGGGAUCCUUGCUGUGCCAGCUUUCUGCUGAUUUUGAAGUGGCUGGUGACCCUGGGAGACCUCAUGAAAGAGUCCCUGUGUGAUAGCUGAGGUUUUGCAAUCGUAGCUGGAACCUUUGCUGUGGGAAAAGCUCAUCGUGUACCUCACUGCUUGCGUAACUUUCAAGGGUAGGCUGCAGUCUGGUUCGUUUUUUUUUUUUUUUUCUUUCCUCUCUGUUGUCUGUGCUGUUCAUAGCAAUAUACCAAAACCCACAGCACCCAUUUGCUUUCUUGCCGGUGGUCUCAGGAGAAAGCCAGUGGCCAAAUCAGCAGCCGGAGUUGCUGUAGCACUUUGGUUGCAGAGGGCAUAUUUGGGGCAGCUGUGGGAAGGUUGUUGGGCUGCAACAGGCAUUACAUUGUCUGGGGGAAUUCAGUCUCGGCAGUUGCUGAAUUAGUAUUUCCCUGCAUACGCGAUGUUCUUGCAUUUCUAAGACUCUGCUACAUUUAAGUAAAAUACUGCAGGUUUAAAUUGAUUGCCACAUCAGCAAAUCAAUGAAGCAGAGUUAACAGGGAAACUGGGCUCCUCUGUCGAACACGGCUGGGAAGAAAAGGCUCCCUCUGAACCGACUUGACCUGCUUCAGGUGAGGAUGACUCCCGUGGACCAGCACAAGGCUCAUCAGUGGUGCUGAAGACUCGAAGUUGGGUGGAAGUGAAGCUCCAGGGCCUUCAAAAUCCAUCUUUCGCAUAUUCGGUGUUGUCUCAAGGUGCUAAAGGCAUGGGUUGGCUUCCUUCUUCUUCAGGCCGUGGCAGAGGUGACAGCAGAGCUGGGGUCCGGUGUGGCAGUGCCUGUGAGCAAAGGGCUGCUCAAGCACUGCCAGCAGCGAGCCGUCGGAGGGUCGGCCCUGCUGGAGGAGGGAAGAGGUUGUGGAGAGAGAGCCCUUUGGAGGCCUUCUGGCUGUUGGAACAAGCGGUGCCUUUGUGGAGGCGUGAGUGCCGGGGUGGGGAUGUCCACCUGGAAAUGGUGAUCUGCAGCCCUAAGAUGACAUCUCAGCUGGCAGUUCAGAGCAGGCGUGUGAUACGGAUCUACAGUUGGUCAAAGAUACAGAGUGACAAACACACGGCUCUGAGGAAGGAGGAGUUCCUUUGCAGUUCGAAGAGGGAAAGACACUAAUUAACACGUGAAUGCAAAGCAAUGGUCUCUAGCUCAGCUGGUGGAAGAACCUCUGGUUUUAUCAGUAUCCGUCAUUUAAGGAACUCACUGUCUGAAGGUUCCCCAAUUCUUGGGCCAUCAGCAUGUGGGACUAGAGAGAGAAUUUGGAGUGUGCUGGUCUUUCUGAGGGACAGCAGGUCCCCAGACACUGUCCCAUCACCCUGUUUUCACAUCUACUGGUUUUGAUCAAACCACUCUGAGAGUGGUUUUCCUGAAUCGUGUAACACAUUCUUGAUCUUAUUUUGCUUACACUUCUAUUUUCCAAAUGUCUGUCUUUUUUUUUUUUCUUUCUUGCUGAAGUAAUUGGUUUGAGGCAAGGCUUGUAUUAUCUGCUGCAGAGACGUGACUCACGCGUGUGGCUGGCCUGCAUGAUAAAGAGCCUCUACUUAAAGCCAAGUGCCACGGAAAGACGGCUGAAAUUGUAUAAAGCUGAUGGAUGUUGACUACAAGUGGGUUACUAAAAUGCAGGCAGCCGUGAUGCUGAUUCAAAAUAAUCUGGAUCUGGCGGCUGUGACUUAGCUUUCAGCAGAAAAUGUUAUUAAAGGAAUUAA